rnacentral:rRNA from 1 species
UACAGAGGUCCCAAGCGUUGUUCGGAAUCACUGGGCGUAAAGCGCACGUAGGCGGACUCUUAAGUCGGUGGUGAAAUCCUGGAGCUCAACUCCAGAACUGCCUUCGAUACUGGGAGUCUCGAGUCCGGGAGAGGUGAGUGGAACUGCGAGUGUAGAGGUGAAAUUCGUAGAUAUUCGCAAGAACACCAGUGGCGAAGGCGGCUCACUGGCCCGGUACUGACGCUGAGGUGCGAAAGCGUGGGGAGCAAACAGG